UGUCUCUCGGUGAAGCCCUUUUGUUCAAUACAGUUACAGUAUUUUCAGGGUUCCCAGCCGCUCCUCUGAUUGACAGCUCCCUCUGCCCCUCCUCCCGGGCUGCGGCCGCACCAUCACGUGGCGCCAAGCAACCACGUGAUCCCUUUACGCGCUGACGUCUCAGGGGUUGUGUACCGUCAGUGACGUCGUUCCCCUCGGCCACGGGCCUGUCCAGGCGGGGGCGGCGGCGGCGUUUCCCAGAGGGGGUAGUGGCCUGGGCCCUGGGGUGGGGCUGAGGCUUCCCCCGGGCGGGGCGGGGCCGGUCUGCACCUGCGGGGUUUAGCGGAAUGAGAGGUGAUGCCAUCGUCUCGUCCUCUGGUUUGCAGGGUGAUGGGGAGAGAUGGAGGCGGCGGCGACUGUAUCAGACGGGCUGCUCCCUGCUCUCUGCCGUUCCUGUGUGUGUCUGUGAGCCGACUGGUGGAGUCUGUGGGCCUGACUGCGCCUCCACUGUGGGCAGCGGCCUCUUCCCUUCCUGCCUGCCGGCCGCGGACGGAAAGGGAAAUUCAUUUCGGUAUGACAAUUUGGCGAGCCAGCCAGGAGUCCAAGACGAGGUUUCAGAAGAGGCGUGAGCGACGGACGGGGAUAACGGCCACCUGAGACGGACGGGCCCACAAGGUACGAUUCACCUUGAUCCCUCUCAGGCAGUCGGACACCUGAUCGAUCCCUUCACUUACCGACAAUCCUCUGACGGACUCCUCGCGAACCUGUCCGAGUGCCACAGUUUCUUCAUUCACAGGUGGAGAGUGCCUUUAAACUACCUGAAGGGCAAAACACGGAAUUGCCUGACCUGGAGAUUGGAGACUCUGUACUAAUACGGGAUUUGGAGCGCCCUAAACUGGGACCUCGGUGGAAAGGCCCCUUCCAGAUAUUACUCCAAACACUGACAGCCAUGAAAGUAAAAGGCCAGGAACAUUGGAUUCAUCUGAGUGACUGCAAACGAUGACCACCGGAGGAAGGUUAAUACCUUUUAAAUUCGGACUUCUCACCAUUACCAGUACUCUUGUGUGGGUGUUAGAGGAUAAUUUGUUUUACAGAAUACAUAUGCUGCUACAUGGGAAUCGCACCAUUUAUUACCCCUUGGCAGAGUCAGUGGAAGGCCUUUUUAUAGCCACACCAAGCUGGAGCCCCAGGGUCCUCUUAAAGUAUGAAUUUUCAAAAACAAUGUGUGUUGGACAGACGGGAACUUACAGGAGGGUGCUGCCGGGUAAAUGCUUGCAUGGAACAGUAACAGGACCUAGUAGUACAGCCCACCACCAGUCCUCCCACUGUUUCACCAGCAUAGGGAGGGGUUGUGGGCUAGCAAUUGUACAGCAUACAAUAAGCAUGUGCCGCCACUACCUGCACAGAGAGGAAUUUCGGGUUUAAAGGGGGAUGGUUUAGCUGUGAGUGCGCUGCCACUAGGUGUGCUACGUUACUUGCAGGAGAGCGAUGGGUUUGUGGAGAAGGGAACGGGACCCACGUGAGAUUGUCUAAUGUCUCCUUAGAAUGGCUAACCAGGGAGAAUUACCUGAGGGACCAUGGGAGAAAUGUUGCUGGGAUCUCUUGGUAUUCUCAAAUGCCCAGUCCACGGCAAUCAGGUAAUGUAACCUGCUGCGGGGCUAAGGAAGGGUAUGUGUUCCUCUUUAAUGGCACUUACACCACAGCCACCCCCACUCUGCCAGCCUGGUUUGCAAUAGGAACGAUCGGUCCGGUCAUGGUCCCCUGCCCCCAGAAGGCUCAUGUCCGAUGAAGACUUGUGGUGUGGUCAGUUAGUGAGGAGUUCUGUGAGGAUUGGAGGGAUCCUAUGUCAUUGGGAUCUCCCUUAGCAUUGUUAGGCCAUGGAUUCCUGAGUACUCUCUCUCUGGGGGUUCGGCAGGAACUAUAGCCACAAACAACUGGAAUACCUUAUUUGUGGACUGGCUUCACUGGGAAACAGUACUAUGGAGGGCCUGAAGGUGGUGAACCGGGAACUGGCAGAGCUUCGACUUUAUGCCCAGUGGACCCGGUAUGCUGUGGACUACCAGCUGGCUCAGCAAGGAGGAAUAUGUGCUAUAGUUGGGGACAAAUGUAUCACCAAUGUGAGAGACGAGUCCUACAACAUCUCCCAUGCCAUUCAGGACAUUCAGACUCAAGUAGAUAGCUUUAGACGGAUUUACAGGAGGGACAAGUUGGUUGGGGUGGCUGCUAGGAGGGUCGUGGGCAUCAUACCUGCUGCAUGGAGCUGUGGAACUAAUUGUAAUUAUAAUAGUAUGCUGUGUGGUGCUGGCCUGUCUAAAUACCUGUUGCAAGGUCCUUAUUAAUAAGCUCUCGGCCCCAUUCUCAGUGCCGCUGUAGUUUAUCAUGAAAUGAUAAAAAGGAGGGAAUGAGGAAGUGAAGGGUUAAGAAUUGCAACCAUACCUAUAACUGGCAAACAAGAUGUAUAUAUGUGCAUUUAUAUUUCUUUAGCAAGGACUAGCAAGCUGCUGACCCAACAGUUAGGUUGGAAUGUUAAGUAUGUUAACUGCCUUUGUUUCGCGUAAUGAACCAUUCCGAUAUGUCAGACGGUGGCGAUACUGAGUGUAAUUAACAUCGAGGUGAAGACUUGGUCUGAGCAAUGAAGGGUGAUACCUGCCUUUGAAAGCCUGGAUUAUAACUCAAUUAUACUAAGAUAAAAGGUGUGAUAGCUGUCUCGGGAUCUCCAUAGCUUGACCAAAACUCAUGGCGCCAUUUGCUUGGGAUGUGCGUGACAAUUCCUGUGUAAAUGUCUGUCUGCUCUUUGUUCGGAGAGAACUCGGGAAGCUACUCUUAGUGAGUGUUGAAGAGAAUUCUCCUAGCGGUGCACUGCUAAUAAAGGU